rnacentral:rRNA from 1 species
UGACGAGCACGCCGCGUGAGUGAGAAGGUUUUCGGAUCGUAAAGCUCUGUUGUAAGAGAAGAACGAGUGUGAGAGUGGAAAGUUCACACUGUGACGGUAUCUUACCAGAAAGGGACGGCUAACUACGUGCCAGCAGCCGCGGUAAUACGUAGGUCCCGAGCGUUGUCCGGAUUUAUUGGGCGUAAAGCGAGCGCAGGCGGUUAGAUAAGUCUGAAGUUAAAGGCUGUGGCUUAACCAUAGUACGCUUUGGAAACUGUUUAACUUGAGUGCAGAAGGGGAGAGUGGAAUUCCAUGUGUAGCGGUGAAAUGCGUAGAUAUAUGGAGGAACACCGGUGGCGAAAGCGGCUCUCUGGUCUGUAACUGACGCUGAGGCUCGAAAGCGUGGGGAGCAAACA